rnacentral:misc_RNA from 1 species
UCCGAGUUGACCCCGGCAGUCUCUUAUGAGUCCCCGGCAUUAUCCGCUGGCAACAUAAGACGAGGGUUGCGCUCGUUGCGGGACUUAACCCAACAUCUCACGACACGAGUUGACGACAGCCAUGCAGCACCUGUGUUCAGGUUCCCUUUCGGGCACCUCUGCGUUUCUGCAGAGUUCCUGACAUGUCAAGGGCUGGUAAGGUUCUGCGCGUUGCUUCGAAUUGAACCACAUGCUCCACCGCUUGUGCGGGCCCCCGUCAAUUCCUUUGAGUUUUAAUCUUGCGACCGUACUCCCCAGGCGGAAUGCUUAAUGCGUUAGCUGCGCCACCGACGGGCAAGCCCGCCAACGGCUGGCAUUCAUCGUUUACGGCGUGGACUAC